GGGCCGGUAGCUCAGCGGUAGAGCAGGAGCCUUUUAAGCUCUUGGUCACAGGUUC
rnacentral:tRNA from 1 species